AUUGAACGCUGGCGGAAUGCUUUACACAUGCAAGUCGAACGGUAGAGGGGGCAACCCCUUGAGAGUGGCGAACGGGUGAGUAAUAUAUCGGAACGUGCCCAGUCGUGGGGGAUAACGUAGCGAAAGUUACGCUAAUACCGCAUACGAUCUAAGGAUGAAAGCGGGGGAUCGCAAGACCUCGCGCGACUGGAGCGGCCGAUAUCAGAUUAGGUAGUUGGUAGGGUAAAGGCCUACCAAGCCAACGAUCUGUAGCUGGUCUGAGAGGACGACCAGCCACACUGGAACUGAGACACGGUCCAGACUCCUACGGGAGGCAGCAGUGGGGAAUUUUGGACAAUGGGCGAAAGCCUGAUCCAGCCAUUCCGCGUGCAGGAUGAAGGCCCUCGGGUUGUAAACUGCUUUUGUACAGAACGAAAAGGUUUCUAUUAAUACUAGGAGCUCAUGACGGUACUGUAAGAAUAAGCACCGGCUAACUACGUGCCAGCAGCCGCGGUAAUACGUAGGGUGCAAGCGUUAAUCGGAAUUACUGGGCGUAAAGCGUGCGCAGGCGGUUAUAUAAGUCAGAUGUGAAAUCCCCGGGCUCAACCUGGGAACUGCAUUUGAGACUGUAUAGCUAGAGUACGGUAGAGGGGGAUGGAAUUCCGCGUGUAGCAGUGAAAUGCGUAGAUAUGCGGAGGAACACCGAUGGCGAAGGCAAUCCC
rnacentral:rRNA from 1 species